UACACUUCAGUGAGGAAUAACAGUUGGAAACGACUGCUAAUACCUCAUAACAUCUCCGGAUCAAAGAUUUAUCGCUGAAGAAUGGGCCCGCGCCUGAUUAGGUAGUUGGUAAGGUAACGGCUUACCAAGCCUUCGAUCAGUAGCUGGUUUGAGAGGAUGAUCAGCCACACUGGUACUGAGACACGGACCAGACUCCUACGGGAGGCAGCAGUGAGGAAUAUUGGACAAUGGGCGCAAGUGAUCCAGCCAUGCCGCGUGAGUGAUGAAGGCCCUAGGGUUGUAAAGCUCUUUCAGAUGCGAAGAUAAUGACGGUAACAUCAGAAGAAGCCCCGGCUAACUCCGUGCCAGCAGCCGCGGUAAUACGGAGGGGGCGAGCGUUGUUCGGAAUCACUGGGCGUAAAGCGACCGCAGCGGCUUAGCAAGUUAGAAGUGAAAUCCCGGAGCUCAACUCCGAACUGCUUUUAAAACUGCUUCGCUUGAGUCCGAGAGAGGUAAGGAGAAUUCCUAGUGUAGAGGUGAAAUUCGUAGAUAUUAGGAGGAAUACCAGUGGCGUAGCGCCUUACUGGCUCGGUACUGACGCUCAUGGUCGAAAGCGUGGGGAGCAAACAGGAUUAGAUACCCUGGUAGUCCACGCCGUAAACGAUGUGUGCUAGCUGUCGGGAUUUUUAAAUCUCGGUGGCGCAGUAACGCAUUAAGCACACCGCCUGGGAAGUACGGCCGCAAGUUAAAACUCAAAGGAAUUGACGGGGACCCGCACAAGCGUGGAGCAUGUGGUUUAAUUCGAAGCAACGCAAGAACCUUACCAACCUUUGACAUCCUGAUCGCGAAUUCCAGAGAUGGUUUUCUUCAGUUCGGCUGGAUCAGUGACAGGUGCUGCACGGCUGUCG
rnacentral:rRNA from 1 species